UAUACAACUACCUUUCUCUAUUUCUUGAAGAAUUUAGCAUUUAUUUUAUGCAAAAAAGAAAAAGAUGUGAUGUUUGGUAGAUUAAAGGUGUUCAGUACAGUCUGAGCUAGUUUAUUUUCAGUUUAUAACAGGCUUAGCUGGAGGUAAGUAAGUCAAGAAGUGUCUGUAAAUAUGAAUCUUUUGUAUGUCCCAGAAUCUAGACUAGGACUGGGAAGGGCAUGCAAUCUGUGCUUAUUCAUUUUGUUUAUAAUGGAAGCCCCUUGUAUCAGUUAUUGCCAUGUAACAAACAAUCUUCCAAUUCAGAAGUUUUAAGCAACAACCUGUAAUUUCUUAUGGAUCAUUUUAGUGGUUCUGCUGAUCCAAGCCAAGCCUGGCUGGUCCCAGGUGGGCUCUGUGACCACUGGCAUGUUGGCCAGGAUCGGCCGAGCCAGGCUGGGACCACUUGACAUGAUCCUCUAUAUUCUUUUUCGAGUUGUGUUUACUUCAAACUUGCUCCUAGUCCAAUGGCCAAAACAAGUCACAGUGCCAAGCCAGUGUAAUUACGGGAAAACAUUACCCAAGGGCAAGGAGACACAUAAAACACAGGUGCCAUUAAUGUAAUCAACCUAUCACAGUCUUCAUAAUUAAAUAAAAGACCAGUCUCAAACCCUUCGUGGAAUGAGACAGACCUAAAUCAGUGGAUAAAUUCAUAAAUUUAAGACUUAUAGUAUGAGAUGCAAUUUACAAAGUCAACCAGUGAUAGGAUCUCUCCUGUGGCUCCCAAGCGUUUGAAGGGUGCUAUCUGCAUUGGCCGGCUGGAUUGUCCUUUUGUUAUAAUUUUGUAACCAGAAUGCAAACCCAUUGGCUUGCCCUUUUCUGUUUGAUGUUCCAUCAGUUAAACAUCCCACACAAUUUUUCAUAGAGAUGUUUCUUUUUCCCCCGAGGACAUCCGCAGCAACCUGGAACACACUUUCCUUGGUACUUGACUCGAAGUUGCUAUAAAUAUCAGGCAUUCUGUUAGCAGCUCGGGGUCAUGGCUCAGGUCUCCUGAACCAACAUCGAUCUCCCCUGUGCCUUGAGUUCUCUCAGUGAGAGGCAGCAGCAGGGCGAGGAAAGUGAAGUAUAAAAUGCACGUCAAGAAAAUGUAGGUGGGCUAAAGCACAGACGUGAAGAGGGAAGGCACCGUCAAGGUGUGAACGUCACCAGGGGACCUCCAAAGACCCUGCCUCCAAAUACCAUCGACAUACGAAUUUGGAGAUUUAAGUUUUCACCACGUGAACUUUUGGGGAACACAGUCAAACCACAGCACAAGGUAAUGCUUGAUGAAUUUUCUUACAAAGAUGAAAUUAUCUUACAAAGAUAAAAAAAGAAUCAGCAUGCAGUUACUAACAGUUGGCGUAUGGUCCACUUUGUUGACAGAGAUCUCCUAGGAAGCCUGUUUUCUAAGGAGCCUUGCUCCUAACUAGAGAGCCAGUGUAAGCCCCAGUUUCUCCGUCCAUGAAGUGGAGUGGUUAAUAUUGCCCAGGACUCGAUUCACAGCCUUUUUUUGACAACUAAGUAUCAUAUUGCAAAGAAAACCCCUUCGCAAAAAUAAUUUAAAAUCUCCUUGAACAAAUAUCGUAUGGCUUCACCUCUAAGUGGGAUCUGAAAAUGUCACUCUUAGAAGCAGAGAAUAGCAUGGUUGGUGUAUGAAGGGGAUUGGUGUAUGAAGUGCGGUAGGUGGAGAUGCUGGUCAGAGGUAUGUAGUUAUAUUUGCGUGAUGUGUUCUGGAGAGACAGCAGCUAACCAUACUGCAUCAUAUUCCGUAGUGUCCGAAAACGCUGAAGGCCCUGGUGGGGGUGUGCAUUGCAUUUAUUAUGCACUUUAUUUCUAUUUUUAUUACCUUAGAGUCUUAGAAGGAGCACACAGCUUAGCUCCCUCGCAGGCACGGUACCCAUAGCGUUUGAGUUCCUAUGAGAAUCUAACGCUGCUGCUGAUCCGACAGGAGUGGGAGCUGAGGCUGUCAGGGACACAGUGUUCAUCCCUCUGGAGGACGUAGCAAUGAGGUGCCACCUUGGAAGCAGAGACAAGCGCUCCAUAGACAGAAUCUGCCAGUCUAUUACCUGGAUUUCCGCAACCAGAACUGUCACUCUGGUCUGGAUUAGCCCUUUUCUCAAGCCCUUCCUCCCGGAAGCACAUCCUCUCCUCUAAUACAAAAGCCCUUAUGCACAGAGGCUACAAUAUCAAUCAUGUCUCCUCAAGUCAUGCAGAGUUUCUGCUUCUCUCCAUCGCCAUCGCGGCCACCUAGGCCAGCCACUGCCCUGUCUCUAAGCUGUAUUGUUGCAGCAGAAUCCGGGUCUUACGCAAGUCCUGAUGACCUGUCACCUAGGACUGACUGAGUUCUCUGGCGUCUCUCUCGCCACCAUUAGAUUCUUCCUCAUUAAACAAAUGAAUCACAAUCCUAAUUAAUUUGAGCAACAGAAUUUAUGUAACUGCUCCCAGCAGGAUGUCUGCUCUCAGUCGGCAAUGAGAUUAAUUCUCUUCUCUGGGAAAUUCCAGCUGUGCUGGUCAAUAAACUCUAAUGAUGACUGAAAUCUCUCAUCUGUCUCUACUCAGGGCAGGUAACCUCUGUUACCCAGACACCUGUGAGCUUGGUGGCGUGCCCCGGGCACCAGGUAGACAGGGGCAAGAAUGUCUCAGCCAGAUGAAUCCUGACUCAGCUACAGCACACAGUGAGUGCUCAGUUCAGCGCAGAGCUGCCCAUGCCCCUGAAUCACUUAAAAAGUGCACGGGAAGUGUUUAAUUUCUAUUUAUGGAAUGAAUAAAGGAGACUAUGUGCUGCUCAGAAGCUUCGGAAAUGGUGCCAGGAUCCUGAAUUGCACACCGAGCCCUCUGGCUCUUUUUAUCUUUAACAUCAUCUAGGUCCCGUGCCCCUGACCAUGCCCGUGCCCCUGACCGUGCCCGUGCCCCUGACCGUGCCCGUGCCGCUUCAGUCUUUCUAUUUUCCCCAGCCUUCUGGACCAGAGAUUGGGCCUCAGUGCUGCUAGCCCUCCUACCCUGGGAUAGCUUGAGCUUCUUUGACUCAAAAGAAACUUCAUGGCUAGAUGCAUGGGAAGGAAGGGUAGCAAAGCAGAAAGUGUCCUGGAAUUAGUUCUUCUUCUGUGCUGCCGCAUAUUCAUUAUAAUUCACCUUCUGUUCUUAGCCUUUCUUGCCUGUGCAAACCACCCGAGCUUCUUGAAUAGAUAAAAGAAAACUUGGUGAGAACGUAUCCUGGGCUGCCUGACUCAAUCAAGGACAGGCAAUGUUUUGGGCAGUGGUGCUCAAGGCACAGGAUCUCUGCUCCCAGAGAAUUCAAUUUCUAGGAGACAACAGCAGGCAGGCACGUAUGUGUUUUUAGUCAGGGAUCCGUGUUCAGCAAAAAUGAAAUAGAAAAAUGUUAAGAAGGACUGACACAAGUGAGAGAGUUUUGUGAGGUGUCGAGUUGUGACCUAGUAACAUGGCCCCAACCAUGUGGAGGCCUGAGGGGAUUGGCUUUCCAGCAAGAGGGAAAAGCUACCACAAAGCCCCAAACUGGGACUGAACUUGCUAGGCCUAUUUGGGAGUCGCUUGGUAUCAUGUGGGUGAAUGGGCAGGUGAGAUUUGAACCCAGGUCUCUCACCUUUAAGAGUACAGUACCUGUUGUGAUAGCACAAAAAUAAAGUGUAAGACAAAGCAAAUGGGGAUGAAGUGAUGGGGAAUAGAUCCCAGGGGGUCUCCAGAUAAUGCAGGAUUCACCUGUCUCUGCCUGACUGCAGAAACUGGCUUUGGCUGUCAGUAUCAGGGACCCUAUGUCUUGAUAGCUCCUCUCAGGGCCAAUUUAAUUUCCAUCUUCACUUUUAACAGGAAGAACCAAGCAUUUUUACGAUUUGGAAUUUUUUCCUGGCUGUAAAACAAAUUUGUUGUAGAAGACAAAAAUCAUCAGCUAUAAACCGGGUGUAGUGGCACACACCUAUAAUCCCAACACUCCGGGAGACUGAGGCAGGAGGAUUGCAAGUUUGAGGAGACAGCCUGGACAAUUUAAUUUGGUGGGACCCCAUCUCAAAAUAAACAAGGGCUGGAGACGUAGCUCAGUGAGAAAGCCUAGGUUCAAUCCCCAGUGUAACAAACAAAGAAACAAACCAGGCAAGAAACAGGCAAAAUCCCCAGAUAUAAUUUUAACUUCUGGAAAUUUUGGUAAAUCCUUAAACACAUAGAUACUGCAUAAGAUUAUGAACAUACAGCUUUGAGAUAUGUUUUUUCUCUCCAGUCAUGAAGCAUAACUUUUAGUACUAGUGAAUGCCACAUCCCAAGUCCUUUUAAUUGUUAUUUUUAGUUUUUGCAGUAGUGGGGUUGAAUUCAGUGCCUUCACAUGCAAUUAUAUCCCCAGCCCUUUAUUUUUUUGAGACACCUUCUUCCUAAGUUACCAAGUUACCCAGGCUGAGCUUGAACUUGUGGUCUUCCUGACUCAGCCUCUUUCUCUAAAGCCAGGGUUUCCCUAAGUUUCCCAGGCUGUCCUCAAACUUGUGAUCUGUCUGCUCCAACAUUGUGAAUAGCUGGGAUUACAGGUAUAUGCCACCACACCCCGCUUUCAAAUGUAUUUUUUAAAUAGCAACAUAAAAGUUCAGUCAAGGACCAAUGAAUGUAAAUAUUUUUGGGUUUUUACUAAUAACGAAGAAUUUGCUUACAUGUGCGUCUUUGUUACACAACGUGCAGUUACUGGACGAGGAGAAAUGUACCCCCCUCAGGCCACAAGUCCAAUGUCUGGGGAAACCAUUUUCUUGGUGCAUUUGCACUCCAAACAUCAUGACUGUAUUGCACAGUUCAGUAUCAGGCUCUUGACAAACAGACAUUGUCACAUUUCCCCCAAGUUUUCUUAUGGUUUGUCUCCCAAGGUUCAAUUAUGGGAGGCGUGGCUGUCAGGGUGGUGAUGUGAGAGGGGGGCAGAGAGGAGGCUCCCGGGAAGAAUUCACAUCCUACUUCACAUGGGAUGCUCAGUUGGUUCUUGUCAGAGGGUUGUGUUAAGGAAAGAGCAAGCCUGGAGCCACCAUGUUCUCUGGCUUCCUGUCUGGUGAUAAGACCUUCCUCUGUCAGAGGAGCUCACGCACCAUGAUGCCAUUUCCCAUAAUUCCUCAUCAGAGCCUGAAUCAAUGGGGUCACACAAUGUUGGUCUCUCA